GCGGUGUGUACAAGGCCCGGGAACGUACUCACCGCGGCGGCUGGUACAAUCACUAGUGAAUUCUAUCCACGCAGUAAACGGUCAGUAAAACGAGGGUGAGAGAACAGUAAGCGGCACAGCGAAAGCGUUAAGUAAUCCACCUGGGGAGUACGCCGGCAACGGUGAAACUCAAAGGAAUUGACGGGGGCCCGCACAAGCGGAGGAACAUGUGGUUUAAUUCGAUGAUACGCGAGGAACCUUACCCGGGUUUGAACGUAGGGAGACAGGAGUGGAAACAUUCUAUUCAGCAAUGACUGCCUACGAGGUGCUGCAUGGUUGUCGUCAGCUCGUGCCGUGAGGUGUCGGCUUAAGUGCCAUAACGAGCGCAAC
rnacentral:rRNA from 1 species